ensembl:rRNA 5S_rRNA 5S ribosomal RNA
GUCUUCAGCCAGAUCACCCUGAGCGCGUCCUAUCUCGUCUGAUCGCGGAAGCUAAGCAGGGUCGGGCCUGGUUAGUACUUGGAUGGGAGGAAUUUAAAUAGGUCAAAAGU